CCCCGCGAGCUGUUCUCCCUGACCUCGGCUGUGCGUACUCGCGCCGGGCUGCGUCCCUUCUGCUCCCUGGAGGCGUUCCCCCACUUCCUGGGCAAAUUCGUCACGGCCACAGACCCCGGGGAUCGUUCCCUGUGGCCUCUGCCGCGAUUAGUCCCGCUCCUCUGCCCGUCUCCCCGUAGAAGCGCACAGGCGGUUUCCACGGCCUCACCUCGCUGUCAGCAGCUUGCAGAUUGUGGAAACGAUCCUCACAGCUAGAUGGCAACAAAAGAAUUCCACUGGACUUCCUACAGUAAAAAAAUUGUAGGGGUUGGAAGGGACCUCUGGAGACCAUCGGGUCCAACCCCCCUGUAAAGCAGGCCCCCUAGAGCAGGCUGCACAGGUCAUGCUAUUCUCAUGAAGAGGUCCCUGCCAACCUUAACUCUUCUGUGAUGCUGUAAUUCUCAAGGAGUUGGGAAAAGGAGAAGAAGCAUUUUUCCUUCUGAUGCUAAAACCACCAGUUUGCCUUCAGAAGUGUCUGCAUCAAGAUUCCAGUGAUCCAAACACUAUUGUCAUCUUGAGAAAGAUAUUUUUGCUUGUCUUGUUAACUUCAUCUUUGCUAAGAGGAAAUUCCUCAUAUUGGCAGGUAUUCUUCAGAGCAGUCAUUCUAGACUACGUUUCCCCAGAUCCUCAGAAAUUGGAUGCACAGGAGAUUUGACCCAUGCUACACUCCUAAAUGCAACUGUGAACUCUUAAAAAAGGGCACAGUGUAGCUUGGUUUCUCAUUGCCAGUUGAUUUCCUGAGACACUUCCUGAGCUUCUCAUUUUGCAUCAUGUUGUCUACUGGGGUAACACUUCUGUCCCCUCCUUAAUACAGUCACACACUGCAACAGUGAGCUUAACUUUUAACACAAUUCUGUAAGUCUAAAAAUUAUGUUCUACCAUAUAAUCUAAUUGAGAACAUGGGUUAUUUCUAUUUGCAUUGCAAUGAGGCAUUGCAUUCCAGGGGAUCUAAGAGAAUAUAACAGUAAGGUUUUAUAUAAAUAGUCAGUGAUUAAAUAUCAUCAGUGGGAAUAAGCAACAAAACCUUUCACUACAUGGAAAUCCAGAUUCUUGUAAAUACCAUUACAAGAGAAAUAACAAGAGGUUUUACUUCACGAAGCAGCAGUAGCUGCUUCUGAAUUAACAUUAUAAAUACUUGGCUAUAAUCAGACAAAUAUUCAGUCCUCCUCUACAUGAAGUCAUCUGCCAGCCAUGUACGCUCUUCCAAAAAGCAGCUAGCCCCAUAAAUUUUCAGAUGCCACAUCACAUUCUAAUGGAAACCCAGAGAGGGAAAAAAAAAAGGGAUUUUUCAAGCUCUAUUUUUCUUUGAUGGUCAGUGAAGAACUUGUAGGACUUGAGACAUAAAAUCCUCAUACAACUUCUCUCUCCCUAUAUCACAUAUCUCCUAAGGAAGCAAGUUAACAAUCACUCAGAAUGGGAUAGUCCAUGGCUAGAAGAAUCCUCACUGGAUAUAACAUAAAAUUAUGUGAUAAUUUUUGGAAAGCAUGUACAGAAUUCUUAGUUUACUUAGAAUCAUAGAAUCCUUAGAGUUGGAAGGGACUUUUAAAGGCCAUCUAGUCCAACU